UACAGAGGUCUCAAGCGUUGUUCGGAUUCUUUGGGCGUAAAGGGUGCGUAGGUGGCGGGGUUAGUCAGGUGUGAAAUCUCGGGGCUCAACCCCGAAACUGCACUUGAUACUGCCUUGCUAGAGUACUGGAGAGGAGAUUGGAAUUUACGGUGUAGCAGUGAAAUGCGUAGAUAUCGUAAGGAAGACCAGUGGCGAAGGCGAAUCUCUGGACAGUUACUGACACUGAGGCACGAAGGCCAGGGGAGCAAACGGG
rnacentral:rRNA from 1 species